UCCCUCUCUCUGUCAAAUAAAUAAAAUCUUAAAAAAGGAAAUGUCGUUGCCCAGGCUGGUGACCAGGCAUUGCUAUUGUCCGGGUCCCCCAGGUGAUUCUCACGUGUAGCCUGGGUUGACGAUUGCUGCCCUGAAGCAUCCCCACACUGGAGGUGAGAGCCCCAUUCUCACCAGUGCAGGAAAGAGCCACCAUUUCGAUGUGCUGUCUGCUCCCACCACCAGCAGAGGGCACACGGAGCAAAUGCAUUGUUCCCUCCCCUUACUCCCCGGGCCAGAACCACAGAUCUUCACUUGACCCCCGAGGGCUCCUGCAGCACGCCAGGAGGGCAGAACCUGGGAUCUGUCCAAGCUCACCUGUGCUCAACCCCUGUGGAUUCUGGUAGGUGCUGGGGUAUCUGCAUUUUUAUGCUUCCCAGGUAAUUCUGAGGCACCCGGACUUUUGAGAAUCACUGGGAUUUACCCUGCCUGGAAGCCACACAGAUGAUAAAGCAGUUUCUCAGGAGAUGCAGGUAGCCUUUAGAUUCAGGCAGUGGAUAUAUCGGUGAUUCGCCCACUUUGACGACAAUCCCAAAAUAAUAAUCUAAUAGAAAUACCCAAGCCGACUUAUGAGGAUGUUCACCGAAUGUUUCUAAUAGCUAAGUGAAUGAACAGCAGUGACAAAACUGGAAGUUCAUGGAUGGAGUUUUUGUAAGUAGGUCACGUGGGUGAAUAAAUGUUGGCAGAGCCAUACCAUGGACUCUUACAUGGCCCUUACAAAAAAUGAUGUUGAGGGGUAUCUGGGUGGCUCAGUCAGUUGAGCAUCCGACUCUUGGUUUCGGCUCAGGUCAUGGGAUUGAGCCCCGUGUUGGACUCCGUGCUCAGCGAGGGAUCUAUUUGAGUUUCUCUCUCCCUCUGCCCCUCCCCACCAUGUGCAGGCUUCUCUCUUUAAAAUAAAUAAAUACAUCUUGAAAAGAAAAGAAUGAGGUUGGACUAUAUCUGCUGAUGUGGAAAGGUAACCAUAGGGUAAUGAUAAGUGGAAGAAAAAGCAAGUCACAGAACAAUAUAGUUUUGUGUGGUCUUAUUUCUGUGUUUGUACAAACCACGUAGAUUCUGAUUUGUUCACAGUGGUUACGGUUAGGGUGGGAGGGGUGGACAGGAGGGAGGGAAGACGUGCACAUUCAACUUUAUAACAAUACCGUUUUUUAGUUUUCAUAAUAGAGUAUGUUGUCUAUCUUAACAAAUGAAAAAUGCUGUGAAAAACAAGGUCUCUUUCAAGUCAGCUUUCUAGGUGAAGAGUAGUUUCUCCACCACGAAUUCCCAUUCUGGACUUGGAAGCUGAGCUGACGUUGGGCAACAUUCAGUCGUGGAGAUCGUUGGUGACAUGGUCAUGUUUGUCCCUUCUAGAGUGGUUUUCCUGGCUGUCUGCUGAGACCUGUCUGGACUCUGGGCGCCUCCGUGCCCUGGGCUGGGUAUAAUUUUGCUGCAGGGAAUGGGGUGGUCUGCACCAUGUCAUGUCCAUACGGUACUUGCUAUGGACUGAAGGAAGGCCAUGUGAAGACAUCGGAGGAGGAGGUCCUGACCAAGAACCUGACCACGGACUUCCAGCCUCCAGAACUGUUCCACCUGACUUCUCUGUUUCCGGAAGCUGCCCAAGGACACCUCCUUGACAUGGUGAUGUGGUGUUGAGACCAUCUGCACAGUGGACACUCCUGAACCCAGUGAAGGCCUCCAUAUAAACUCCUAAGAUUCUGGCAGGUGGGUGUGGAGACCUCCUCAUCUUGCAGCUGCCCAAGACAAGCCUUGUAAGUUAAGUUUCCUUGUUUAUUAGCCCGGCCUCCUGCCCGUCUGGGGUGGCCUGCCUCUCUCUCUCCAGUCUCGCCCUGCCCUACUGUGCAUGGGGGCCAGUUCCAGUUUGCACCCGGGGAGCCCACCAGGGGGUUGUAAGCCAACAGUGGCAUUCUGUUGUAGUCACCUGGGCAGACUGAUGUGGUCCCCCAGAGCAUGGUGAGGUUGGCACUAGCCAGGGACAUUCACGGUGUGCACAGCUGGGAGCUGGUGUCCUCCCUGCCCUGGUUACCAAUGAUAAGCCUUCUAUCAUCCAAGGACCAUGUUUAAUGCACUUCCCAGCGCCCAUCCGAUGGGCUUUGCUGCUUGUGGGGGUGGAAGGGCAGCCUGGGGUGAACUGCCCAGAUGGCCGGGGGUGAGGGCUUUCCUUUUGCUGCUGCUUUGUGACUUCAGGACUUGUGAGUCCCCAUGUGGAAAGCACCAGGGUCCCUUUGAGCCCCAGGCAGAGUCCAACUUUUAUGGCCUUGUUUUGAUCCUGUGGCAUUCAACUAUAAAAUCCUGCCCAGUUAAUCAGGGCCCAUACCACUUGGCCAUGUUUGUACCAACGCUGGUGACAAAACAUCUGCUUCACUGAUUAACAGUUGAGAUAGACCCCGGCACUCAUUCGGACUUGUAUCCGUUUCGGGAAAUAGACUUAGUAUCUAUGAGUGGGAACUUGACUUUAACAGAAAUAUAUCAUUCUUUGGAAUCAUUCUUUGGACACUGUAUGUCCUGCCACAUUCUAUGUGGGUGAACUGUGACCCAUUUGGAGGAGUUCUCUCCGUGCCUUGGGUUCUUCACCUGGGAAGCAGCAAUGACCGUAGCACCCACCUAGGGUGUUUGGAGGACUGACUUACUACCUGGAAUACACUUAAAGUAGUGCUCGGUCCAGGGGAGUAUUUGGUAAGUGCUAGUGAGCGUUACUAUUAGCAGCCUUUUUUUUUUUAAGAUUUUAUUUAUUUAUAUGAGAGAGAAAGAGAGCACAUG